CCUACGGGUGGCAGCAGUGAGGAAUAUUGGUCAAUGGGCGCGAGCCUGAACCAGCCAAGUAGCGUGAAGGAUGACUUCCCUACGGGUUGUAAACUUCUUUUAUAAAGGAAUAAAGUGAGGCACGUGUGCCUUUUUGUAUGUACUUUAUGAAUAAGGAUCGGCUAACUCCGUGCCAGCAGCCGCGGUAAUACGGAGGAUGCGAGCGUUAUCCGGAUUUAUUGGGUUUAAAGGGUGCGUAGGCGGAUGUUUAAGUCAGCGGUAAAAUGUCCGGGCUCAACCCGGGCCUGCCGUUGAAACUGGGGAUCUUGAGUGGGCGAGAGGUAUGCGGAAUGCGUGGUGUAGCGGUGAAAUGCAUAGAGAUCACGCAGAACUCCGAUUGCGAAGGCAGCUUACUAAACUGCCACUGACAUUGAUGCUCGAAAGUGUGGGUAUCAAACAGGAUUAGAUACCCCAGUAGUC
rnacentral:rRNA from 1 species